rnacentral:lncRNA from 1 species
AGGUGCCAACUGCCUAACAAUUUUUUUUAUAAAAAGAAAAGGGUAGGAAAAAAAGGGGAUCUCUGAACUCGACUCUGAUUUUCACUAUUUUCUACGGUUCUCCUUUUCCAACUGUCACUGACUUAACCAUCAAAGGAUCUCCCAUUGAAGAACCCCCAUCUCUUUCUCUGAGUAUGGACUUUCUUUAUAGAUGAUCAGAGUCCUAACCC